AUUGAACGCUGGCGGAAUGCUUUACACAUGCAAGUCGAACGGCAGCACGGGUGCUUGCACCUGGUGGCGAGUGGCGAACGGGUGAGUAAUACAUCGGAACGUACCCAGUUAUGGGGGAUAACUAACCGAAAGGUUAGCUAAUACCGCAUACGCCCUGAGGGGGAAAGCGGGGGACCGUAAGGCCUCGCGUAAUUGGAGCGGCCGAUGUCUGAUUAGCUAGUUGGUGAGGUAAAGGCUCACCAAGGCGACGAUCAGUAGCAGGUCUGAGAGGAUGAUCUGCCACACUGGAACUGAGACACGGUCCAGACUCCUACGGGAGGCAGCAGUGGGGAAUUUUGGACAAUGGGCGAAAGCCUGAUCCAGCCAUUCCGCGUGAGUGAAGAAGGCCUUCGGGUUGUAAAGCUCUUUCGGCAGGGAAGAAACGGUCUAGGUUAAUACCUUGGGCUAAUGACGGUACCUGAAGAAGAAGCACCGGCUAACUACGUGCCAGCAGCCGCGGUAA
rnacentral:rRNA from 1 species